GACGAACGCUGGCGGCGUGCCUAACACAUGUAAGUCGCACGGGACUGGAGGGCAACUUCCAGUUCAGUGGCAGACGGGUGCGUAACACGUGAGGAACUUGUCCAACGGCGGGGGAUAGCCGGCCCAACGGCCGGGUAAUACCGCAUACGAUCGUUCGGGGGCAUCCCUGAACGAGGAAAGCAGCCGCAAGGUUGCGCCGAUGGAGAGUCUCGCGGCCUAUCAGCUAGUUGGCGGGGUAAUGGCCCACCAAGGCGACGACGGGUAGCUGGUCUGAGAGGAUGGCCAGCCACAUUGGGACUGAGACACGGCCCAGACUCCUACGGGAGGCAGCAGUGGGGAAUCUUGCGCAAUGGCCGCAAGGCUGACGCAGCGA
rnacentral:rRNA from 1 species